CUCACGUCCGCGAGAUCGCCCGAGCUGCGAACGAGAUUUUCAUUCCCAAAACAACGACGAGGCACGACGUUCGAAAGAAAACAAAAUUCAAGGCGACAGUGACACCACGACGCUCCCACUUUACGUCAGCCGUAUACGCCAGUGUUUUCGAAGUUUUUUUUUUAGUUCACCAAAAUUUAUCGACGGAAAAUUACCAACCAUCGUGUUGUAUCGUAUCUUUUAAUUAGCCGCAUAAAUUUCCUAAUGUCUCUCUCUAAUCCCUGCUCCUAACCUAAUCAUUUUAACUUAUCGGAAAAGCACAAGUACUGAACUCCAGUAUUAAGCUUAUCAAGAAUAAACCAACUACAUUUAAUUAAAACAACCAAACCUAAACUA